CAAGAAAGAAGCAAGCUUUGAUAUCUUUAUCUGACAAGUAGGAUUAAGCUACUCUUGGCAACGGUCUUCAAGAGUUAGGAUACACUAUCGUUUGUACUCGAGGAACUGCCUCUACCUUGGAGAAUGCUGGAGUCUCUGUCACCAAAGUGGAGACUUUCUCUUCCCUCAUUCUUUAGCUGGUGAAGCUUAAUGACCGUGCGAAGACUUUGCACCCAAACAUACACGGUGGUAUCCUCGCUAGAAGAGAUGUGGAGCAUCAUAUGGAAGCUUUUAAUGAGCAUGGCGUUGGUACAUUUGAUGUGGUGGUUAUCAAUUUGUAUCCGUUCUACGACAAAGUUACUGCUCCAGGUGGGAUCAGUUUUGAGGAUGGGAUUGAGAACAUCGACAUUGGUGGUGCUGCUAUGAUUAAAGCAGUUGCUAAGAACCACAAAGAUGUCCUCAUCGUUGUCGAUUCAGAGGAUUAUCAAGCUGUUUUGGAGUAUCUCAAAGGAGCUCAGAACGACCAAAAAUUCCGCAGGAAAUCUGCGUGGAAGGCCUUUCAGCACAUUGCUGCUUAUGAUUCCGCUGUCUCAGAAUGGCUAUGGAAGCAGACUGAGGGACGUAGGUGCUUAUUUUUUAUGUGAUCCUCCUUACACUAGAUCGAGAUGCAGUGGCUUCCAGGUGAUUCAUUUAUUUUCUGUUUCUCACAUACACACCACUGUAACCUUUGAGGUUUUAAUAUGUUAAUUCUUAUUUAGUUGAAUCUCAUAUCAGUUUGAGGUUUUAAUAUGUUAAUUCUUAUCAGUUGUGUUGGAUACCAGCCGUCAGUGUCCUUAGAUACGGUGUGGAGCUUGCUGUUGCAGAUAAGAGUGAUGAAGCUGUUUACGUCGGUUCUGGUGGGGAGAUAACAAAACUAACUAAUAUUAGAGCCGCUAAAGCUGGGCACCUUCACGCCGCAAGUGUUGAGAAUCGUAAAGACAGCCAGCUCCCUCUGUCCAUAACUUGAUGGGAGAAACAUACAGUUUUCAGCUAGGCUGACACAUUUCAGUUUGACUUCUAAUCAUCAGACCUUCACGAUUUCAUCCAUUUUUAAUAAGCGUAACUGUCCACCAGUCCCAGAUUUCGUUGUUGAUGGAGUGAGCUCACUUACCAUCAAUGUCUGUGCCGGUCCUCCUGAUAAUGAGAAUGAACCAGCUGGUGAAACAACUGCAGGUGGUGCAUCGGUCACGAACUUGCUGAUCCCGACGAGUUUAAAGCAACUAAGAAGGCACGCCUUACAUAGAUUGAAGAGGAUAGUCGUCAGCCACGGCGUCGGCUCCUAGAAUAAUACUUGUGCAUAGUUGUUGGCAUGUUGCUUUUAUUACAUCAUCUGGCGUAAACAGUUUACAACUGACUAUAAACCCAAUCAUGUUUGGAAAUUCAUUAUCUUUGUCUACAAGUCGGUGAACUAUUCUAUUUGCGUA